rnacentral:rRNA from 1 species
AUGAUGGCAAAGUUUGCAGAAUGGAGUCAACAGAUGGGAACCCAACAGGUGCCUACGAAGAGGGUUGACAACAAAGAAAAUAGUAAUCCAAACUUGCAAAAUAUUCUGUUACAGAGAUCUAGUCCUAAUAAGACUUCAGGUUCAAGGCCUACUGCUAUUUCUUCAAAUGCGCUCAUACAAGCUGUAGCAAGGAAUUCCCGGAUGUUUAAAGCAAUGGAUGUCAUGAGCAUGGGCGUGAUGCCUUUGCUGCUGACUCCAUUGCAAUGUCCCAUGCAAUAUCUCUUUCCGCUGAUAUAUGGGUCAUGA